CCUACGGGCGGCUGCAGUGGGGAAUAUUGCACAAUGGGCGCAAGCCUGAUGCAGCCAUGCCGCGUGUGUGAAGAAGGCCUUCGGGUUGUAAAGCACUUUCAGCGGGGAGGAAGGCGUUAAGGUUAAUAACCUUGGCGAUUGACGGUACCCGCAGAAGAAGCACCGGCUAACUCCGUGCCAGCAGCCGCGGUAAUACGGAGGGUGCAAGCGUUAACCGGAAUUACUGGGCGUAAAGCGCACGCAGGCGGUCUGUCAAGUCGGAUGUGAAAUCCCCGGGCUCAACCGGGGAACUGCAUUCGAAACUGGCAGGCUAGAGUCUUGUAGAGGGGGGUGGAAUCCCAGGUGUAGCGGUGAAAUGCGUAGAGAUCUGGAGGAAUACCGGUGGCGAAGGCGACCCCCUGGACAAAGACUGACGCUCAGGUGCGAAAGCGUGGGGAGCAAACAGGAUUAGAUACCCGGGUAGUC
rnacentral:rRNA from 1 species